ensembl:lncRNA
AUGAACAACACAGAUCGUGAUGAACAUAACCAAAGCAACAUACAAUGUAGCUACAAUUUGCAACAGUCAUAUUUUACAUAUACUAACGGGUGUUAUGAAAAUAACAAUUCUACAUUUUCUUUAUUUUAUAAAAAUCAGAAUGAAAAGAAUGAAAAAAAAACAAAAGAAAAAAAGAUAAUAAACGAUUAUUUACAUUAUUUAGAACUGAAAAUAAACAAUGUGGUAAAUUUUAUAAAAAUAGAUGAAUAUAAUUUAUUAAAUAUAAAAAAAGAAUACAAAGAAUAUAUAAAUAGUAAAAACGUGACAUUAUUGUUAGACUAUUACAUAAGUAAUUUAUUUUAUCAUUUUAAAUAUAUUAGUAAAAAUAUAAAAAAUUACUAUUUGAAUUAUAAUAAAAUAAUAUAUCCUUUUAAUUUUGAUUUUCGUGCUAAUAAAAAUAUAUGUGAAAAAUGUAUUUUGAAAAAUAAUAAAAGAUGGCAACACAAUGGUUGUGCUGAGUGUUGUAGUAGUCAUAGUAACAUCCACAGUAGUAGUCAAGUAAUGCCUCAUAUUUUGUACUUAUGGUGCAAACGUGUAAAACUAUUAUUAAAUAUUUAUAAUAAUAAUAAAAAAAAAUAUAAACUAAAUAAUUGUUCAAAUAAACAUACGAAUAAUUCAAAUGGUUUGUUUUUUUGUGAUAAAAACAGUAGGUAUAGUAUAAAUGAAUGUAUGUACAACUUAACACAUGUUCUUUUUCGUAGUAAAGAUUAUAAUAUAUUUAAAAAUGUAUUGAAAUUUUCAAAUUGUGAUCAUUGUGUAAAUAAUUCUAAUAAUAUUGAUAAAAAAAAAAAGUGAUAAAAAAAAAAGUGAUAAAACAAGUGUAAGCGAAAAAAAAACGUAACACAUAUAAGGGUGGUAACACAUAUACGGGUGGUAACACAUAUACGGGUGGUAACACAUAUAUGGGUGGUAACACAUAUACGGGUGGUAACACAUAUACGGAUGGUAACACAUAUACGGGUGGUAACACAUAUACGGGUGGUAACACAUAUACGGGUGGUAACACAUAUACGGGUGGUAACACAUAUACGGGUGGUAAUAUAUAUACGGAUCCGUGUCAUGAUCAGAACACUUACAACACAUAUAAUAAACAAGGACAUAAUACAACGGGAGAAGAAACA